AGUGGUGUGGACGCAGCCUUCGCCAUCCGGGCCCCGGGACGCUCCAGCCUCAGUCUUGACUCCUCCCCUUGCCUACCAGCAGCUGCCUGUUGAUUCCUGCCCAUCCUUUGACAGGACCAGCCCAGCUGCCAACAGAUAUCUCGGGCCCGGUGUCUGUACCCUGGGACCUGUUGGCCGCUGGCCCCUGGCAGCAUCCUCGGUGGCUUUGGUGCUGGAGGACAAGCACACACAGUUCUCACGCUUGACCUGGAGGUUUCCAGCUGGGGAGCUUCCCUGAUGGGAUGGGGUGACUUGGGGCAUUAAGGAGAACCACUUUAUAACCUGCUUAGAAGACCUGGAUGGAACUGGAAAGACAGGCAUGAGGAACUCACUGUCAUGGGACAAAUGAACUACUUCCUUCAGCAGAGAGGAACCAGCAGGCCCAGAGGGGACACAGGUUCGAGCCCUGGUCCGGGAAGAUCCCACAUGCCGUGGAGCAACUAAGCCCGUGCGCCACAACUACUGAGCCUGCGCUGUACAGCCUGCAAAACCCAACUACUGAGCCCGCGUGCCACAGCUACUGAAGCCCGUGCGCCUAGAGCCUGUGCUCUGCAACAAGAGAAGCCACUGCAAUGAGAAGCCCGCGCACCGCAACGAAGAGUAGCCCCCGCUUACCACAACUAGAGAAAGCCCGUGCGCAGCAACAAAGACCCA